GAUGAACGCUGGCGGCGUGCCUAAUACAUGCAAGUCGAGCGAACAGACGAGGAGCUUGCUCCUCUGACGUUAGCGGCGGACGGGUGAGUAACACGUGGAUAACCUACCUAUAAGACUGGGAUAACUUCGGGAAACCGGAGCUAAUACCGGAUAAUAUAUUGAAACACAUGGUUCAAUAGUGAAAGACGGUUUUGCUGUCACUUAUAGAUGGAUCCGCGCCGCAUUAGCUAGUUGGUAAGGUAACGGCUUACCAAGGCAACGAUGCGUAGCCGACCUGAGAGGGUGAUCGGCCACACUGGACCUGAGACACGGUCCAGACUCCUACGGGAGGCAGCAGUAGGGAAUCUUCCGCAAUGGGCGAAAGCCUGACGGAGCAACGCCGCGUGAGUGAUGAAGGUCUUCGGAUCGUAAAACUCUGUUAUUAGGGAAGAACAAAUGUGUAAGUAACUAUGCACGUCUUGACGGUACCUAAUCAGAAAGCCACGGCUAACUACGUG
rnacentral:rRNA from 1 species